CCAAACAAUCAUGAACACAACCUAAAAGCCACACUGCCAAACUGUGCAGGAAUUGGCACAAAUAAGUAGCAAAAGAAGAACUAUCCCCUUCGAAGCCUAUAUAAUUGAUAACUAUGGAAUACAUUAAGUAUCAAGGAUAAAAUUCUGCAAUCUUGCAAAAUCCCAAGCCUCACAGCCUUCUAUCCGUUGCUAUUCACAUCUAAACCAUUUUGCAAGCCAAGUAUAACACCUAUACUGCAACCAGCCAAUAGAGGCAAUCAACCUCUCACAACCAGUGUACUUCACUUUAAGAAACCAAACAGGAGCCCAAACAACCAUCCCUCCAUAUCUUCAUUAAAUUAUUAUUUCCCAUGGUACAUGUUUUCUCCACACAAGAAUUACUCCUCUACUACAAUCUCCCAAACCAACCUGCAUAGUGAAAACUCCAAUUUAGACUGAACAUUAUUUCAGACUAACUAUCCAAAUAAUCAGAACCAAAAUAAAUCAAACAACCAUAACUCUCUCAGGUUCUUAAUUUCCAAAAUAUAUCUACUAACGAAAUAUGGCAAUCAAGUAGUUGAUCCCUAAGAAACCAAACAGGAGCCCAAACAACCAUCCCUCCAUAUCUUCAUUAAAUUAUUAUUUCCCAUGGUACAUGUUUUCUCCACACAAGAAUUACUCCUCUACUUCAAUCUCCCAAACCAACCUGCAUAGUGAAAACUCCAAUUUAGACUGAACAUUAUUUCAGACUAACUAUCCAAAUAAUCAGAACCAAAAUAAAUCAAACAACCAUAACUCUCUCAGGUUCUUAAUUUCCAAAAUAUAUCUACUAACGAAAUAUGGCAAUCAAGUAGUUGAUCCCUCACUUCUAUCCAUAUAGCUGCAAACAACACCUUGACACAACCUUCCCAAUUAUUUCCAGCCAGCACGAUGAGAC
rnacentral:lncRNA from 1 species